rnacentral:rRNA from 1 species
GACGAACGCUGGCGGCGUGCUUAACACAUGCAAGUCGAACGGAAAGGCCCUGCUUGCAGGGUACUCGAGUGGCGAACGGGUGAGUAACACGUGGGUCAUCUGCCCUGCACUUCGGGAUAAGCCUGGGAAACUGGGUCUAAUACCGGAUAGGAGCCAUUUUUAGUGUGAUGGUUGGAAAGUUUUUUCGGUGUAGGAUGAGCUCGCGGCCUAUCAGCUUGUUGGUGGGGUAAUGGCCUACCGAGGCGGCGACGGGUAGCCGGCCUGAGAGGGUGGACGGCCACAUUGGGACUGAGAUACGGCCCAGACUCCUACGGGAGGCAGCAGUGGGGAAUAUUGCACAAUGGGCGCAAGCCUGAUGCAGCGACGCCGCGUGGGGGAUGACGGCCUUCGGGUUGUAAACUCCUUUCGCUAGGGACGAAGCUUUUUGUGACGGUACCUAGAUAAGAAGCACCGGCUAACUACGUG